AUAUACUCACCAGCUGUUUUCUCUUGUUUGGUGUUGUUUCCCCAACACACACAUACACACACAUGCUAUGUACACAAGUUCCUACUAAGAAUGACACAGAAAUCCCUAGAGGAAGCCAAGCACAGAUGCUACAACAGCAUCAUUUCCAGCUCUGAAGCAAGAUAAGCAACAAGACAAUAUAGCAUUCAUAGUGUUUACCUACUGAAAUGUUAUUUAGAAGGAUGGUGGGUCAAACUAUAGUCUAACCUAGCUGCAAUGGUCAAGUUGAAAAAGAAGCAAAAGCUAUGCAGACCGACAGAAGGGACACUUCUGUGGGCUGGCAUCUCUACCAUCAGCCAGCCAUCUGCAGCUCCUCCUGCCCAUCCCUUCUGCAGGGAAGAACCUGGAACCUGGGCUGGAUCAUCAGUUGCCAAGGGCCAGAAGACUCUGCAAAUCAACAGAAGGACUGUUACUGUGGGUUGGCAUCUUCAUCAUCACCCAGCCCUAGUGUCAACCAUCUGUAGCUCCUUCUGCCUCUUUUCUCUGGAGUAGAGAACAUGGAACUUGGAUUAUGGCAUGAGCUACCAGGGAUCAGAAGAGACUACAGAUCAGUGAAAUUGCCGCUCUUGUGCUUGGCCUCUUCAGCAUCACCCAUCUGCAGCUCCUUCUGCAGCCUUGAGGGAAGAGCUUGGAAUUGGGACUGUAUUAUCUGCCAAUUGCAAUGAGAUUGCUCUAAUAUUGUAGUGCCAUUUGUGUAUCUAUAGGUUCUGUUCUGCAGUAUGCUGUAAUAUGCCUUGUGAUCCAGUCAUGGUAUCAUCAUCAUCUUCAAGGUUUACCUGCCAAGAAAGCAGGUAUGACUUUCCGAAUCAUCCAGUGAUUUUAACUGUGAUAUUUCUUGGUUUGUUUAUUUAUUAUCCUGCCUUUCUUAUAGUGCUAGAACCAAGCCACCUUGCAUGAAUUAAAGCAAGAAACAGUGAAUUAAACCAGCAAUGAAAUAAUAUUAAAACUAAGAACUAAAUUAAAUCGGGUUUAAAGCAAUUAAAAACAUAGCCAGAAAGAGGUGAAAUUAGAGCACCAACUCAAUAAAAAGAGUCUUCUGCAUAAUUCUCUUUUUCCAUUUCUGUAUAAUUAUGAAACAAGUAGAUGACAUUGCUUUAUUAUCCUAUUCCUAUCAAAACUAUUCAAGUUAUUGAGCCCUAUCACUAAAAUACAUUGGACGUCAUUUGAUGGCUUCUUUUGACAUUCAGAAUAACACUUACAUUGGUUUGAUGGUGUGCUGAUAGAUAAGCCCUACUGCCCCCUCCCCACCCCCACCCCAUUGCUGAUUUUGCCAACAAUAGCAUCUACUGCUAGAGUUAUAGUUGAGAGUGGGGCAUGAUGCUGCCCAGAUAAGAAUUCUGUCUCCACACAACAUUUUCUGUCAGUUCCAAAAUACCUUGCAUUUCCAGCAAUGUAAAAACGGAGACAUCAGGAAUACACUUCAGUCAUCCAAAUGAGAAAAAAGCAACAACCCAGCCAUACCAAACUAACAAAUCAAUGCAAUGUGUCCUAAAGAUUAUGCAUGGUAGAAUCACCUCUAAAAAGAACAAGACAUUUCUGCGAAUGAGAAAGUAGGAACUGCAAAUAAGGUAGUGGAUAGUAAUUUUAAUUACAAUGAAAGCAGACUGGAAGGUUUCACUGAAUAUAGAAAACUCCUGUGUUGGUUGACCUUUAUGUAAAUAGCACGUCACUGCAUGAGUUGAAGCAUCCUGCAUGCAUAUACCAUCUCCAUGUGAUCUGAGCUCUCAUGAUUACAUCAGACAUUGGGAAUUAAAAUGGUGAUGGAGGAGGAGAUAAUGCUCUAGAACAAUGGUUCUCAACCUGCGAGCCCCCAGAUGUUUUGGCCUUCAACUCCCAGCUGGUAACAGCUGGUAAACUGGCUGGGAUUUCUGAGAGUUGUAGGCCAAAACCCGGGAACCCAGUGCUCUAGAAGAUUAAGUUCUAAUGAGAACGUAGGGAAAAUGUUGGAGAAACUCUUUGAAAAAAGGCUGCCAAAAUUUCCACAUCAAGUAAUUUAGCCAAUUUCAUAAGGGAGACAAUUUUUUUUCAGAAAUCUGAAUUAUAAAAUAGCAAUUGAAAGAUGAAAGAAAAAAACUGAAUUAUCCAAAGAUCAGAAACUAAUUCAACAUGGGCAGAUGAUGCCCUUAGGAAGAGCAGGCUGGGUGGGGGCGGGGGGAAUCAGAUCCUCCCAAGUUGUUAAAAAAGCAUUCAUUUAAUUAGCUUGCACUGUUACGACAUCCAUUUAUGCUGAAGACUCUGACAUCAGUUAAUGCACAGUUUUGCACUUUGUAAGUGUGAUUUAUACUGCAUUUUGAGUGUCUAGCAGCCAAGAAAAUUCCACCAUAUUGAUUUAGGUUACUGCUAUGCAAUCAUUCUUUUCUUUGGGCAGCCUGAUCAUAUGGUGGCAGUUCGAUUGUACCAACCUAACCUAAUCCCACCAAUAUAGCAGCAAAUAUUUGUGACUGGUGGAUACAUUGCCCUGCUACAUUACCCUAAAUUACCCUGUUACUAUGUGGUCUAUUUUAUUUGGAUUUAUGGCCUAUGCAAUCAAUCAAAUAAAUAUUUCACUACUCAUUACUAAAUUGGGGGGUUGGGGAAUUCUGGGAUUUGUAGUCAAAAAAGUAACUUUCCUAAGAUGUGGCUCAGUCAACGUGUAGGUUGAACCUCUAUAGAGACUCCAUGAAUCCAAUAAAGAGGGAAACCUGG